rnacentral:tRNA from 1 species
GGUCCUAUAGUCUAGCGGUUAGGACAUUGGAUUCUGAUAUGUUCAUAUAUUACAUUCCAGUAGCCCCGGUUCGAUUCCGGGUAGGACCU